AUGUUUAUUAAGGAGCAGGGAUAUUUCAAGCGCUUCGAGACGGACGGCACUCUUGAUUGGUCGUUCCCCAGUGAUUACAUCAAUUGUGCUCUACUGAAUGACUACCAGCGCCUAGUCCCUCGAAAUUAUGGUGGUAGUGAGUACAUCAGAUGGAGUGAGUACCAUGAGUACUUGAAUAGCUAUGAGAUUGAACAGGAAUACGUCGAGUACAGUGAGGAAUUAGCCAAGCAACUGAAGUGGAUGGAAGAUUAUAUACAUUUUGACCGGCCAUCUUUUAAGUAUGACUUCAUCUCUUCCCGAGGAGCUUACCAGGCAAUAAAGAUUGCUGCUACUGGCUUUCGCGGAAUCACUCCGGCUUUAGCUUACAAUGGCUACUAUGAAUGUAUAGAGAGCAUGGGCUAUGACCUUGCUUGGCUUAAGGAGUUAGAUGGUGUCUAUUUUGAGAUUUGGCGGCGGGUCACUCAGGGAAUGAGUUUCAAAGAUGCUCUGGCAGAGGUUUGUCAUCUCAACAGGUUUCCGUUACAUCAACAUAGAAUGGAACGUGCCCUGGAGUUUGAUGAAGCGAUGGAGGAGAUGGAAGAAGAGUUCCGUAUCUGCACGGCAGCCAUUACCCCAGAAGUUAAAGAGGAUAAAGCUCGGGAGUUGAUUGCAGGGGCGGUUAAAGAGCUGCUUGAUGAUACGCCGAAGUCCUAUGAGCAGUAUAUCAUAAAGAAGAUGCACAUUGCCCGAGUUGUUGGAAUCCUUCCUGACAAGAGGAUUGAAGAUUCUCAAGAAUGA
rnacentral:rRNA from 1 species